rnacentral:rRNA from 1 species
UACAGAGGUCUCAAGCGUUGUUCGGAUUCAUUGGGCGUAAAGGGUGUGUAGGUGGCGCGCUAAGUCGGGUGUGAAAUUUCGGAGCUUAACUCCGAAACUGCAUUCGAUACUGCGGUGCUUGAGGACUGGAGAGGAGACUGGAAUUCAUGGUGUAGCAGUGAAAUGCGUAGAGAUCAUGAGGAAGACCAGUGGCGAAGGCGGGUCCCUGGACAGUUCCUGACACUGAGACACGAAGGCCAGGGGAGCAAACGGG